rnacentral:rRNA from 1 species
AUUCCAGCUCCAAUAGCGUAUAUUAAAGUUGUUGCGGUUAAAAAGCUCGUAGUUGGAUUUCUGCCGAGGAUGACCGGUCCGCCCUGUGGGUGUGCAUCUGGCUCAGCCUUGGCAUCUUCCUGAAGAACGUAGCUGCACUUGACUGUGUGGUGCGGUAUUUAGGACAUUUACUUUGAGGAAAUUAGAGUGUUUCAAGCAAGCGCACGCUUUGAAUACAUUAGCAUGGAAUAAUAAGAUAGGACCUCGGUUCUAUUUUGUUGGUUUCUAGAGCUGAGGUAAUGAUUGAUAGGGAUAGUUGGGGGCAUUCGUAUUUAACUGUCGGAGGUGAAAUUCUUGGACCGUUUGAAGACGAACUAAGGCGAAAGCAUUUGCCAAGAAUGUUUUCAUCA